GUAAUAGAGGCGCGGGCUUCAUCAGUAGCCGGAUAACGCACGGGAAUGUGCCGGUGAAAGGGGAUACCGCCGAGGUUCCUGUACGUUUCCCGACGUACAUCUGCCGGGAUCACGCAGAAGAUGCGUGGUACUGUCGUUUCUUAACGGAGUGCUAUUCGA
rnacentral:ncRNA from 1 species